rnacentral:rRNA from 1 species
UUUCCAGACUCCUACGGGAGGCAGCAGUGAGGAAUAUUGGUCAAUGGACGAGAGUCUGAACCAGCCAAGUAGCGUGAAGGAUGACUGCCCUAUGGGUUGUAAACUUCUUUUAUAAAGGAAUAAAACGAGGCACGUGUGCCUUUUUGCAUGUACUUUAUGAAUAAGGAUCGGCUAACUCCGUGCCAGCAGCCGCGGUAAUACGGAGGAUCCGAGCGUUAUCCGGAUUUAUUGGGUUUAAAGGGUGCGUAGGCGGAAUAUCAAGUCAGCGGUAAAAAUUCGGGGCUCAACCCCGUCGUGCCGUUGAAACUGAUGUUCUUGAGUGGGCGAGAAGUAUGCGGAAUGCGUGGUGUAGCGGUGAAAUGCAUAGAUAUCACGCAGAACUCCGAUUGCGAAGGCAGCAUACCGGCGCCCAACUGACGCUGAAGCACGAAAGCGUGGGUAUCGAACAGGAUUAGAUACCCCUGUA